rnacentral:rRNA from 1 species
GACGAACGCUGGCGGCGUGCUUAACACAUGCAAGUCGAACGAAGAGCGAUGGAAGCUUGCUUCUAUCAAUCUUAGUGGCGAACGGGUGAGUAACGCGUAAUCAACCUGCCCUUCAGAGGGGGACAACAGUUGGAAACGACUGCUAAUACCGCAUACGAUCUAAUCUCGGCAUCGAGGAUAGAUGAAAGGUGGCCUCUACAUGUAAGCUAUCACUGAAGGAGGGGAUUGCGUCUGAUUAGCUAGUUGGAGGGGUAACGGCCCACCAAGGCGAUGAUCAGUAGCCGAUCUGAGAGGAUGAACGGCCACAUUGGGACUGAGACACGGCCCAGACUCCUACGGGAGGCAGCAGUGGGGAAUCUUCCGCAAUGGACGAAAGUCUGACGGAGCAACGCCGCGUGAGUGAUGACGGCCUUCGGGUUGUAAAGCUCUGUUAAUCGGGACGAAAGGCCUUCUUGCGAAUAGUGAGAAGGAUUGACGGUACCGGAAUAGAAAGCCACGGCUAACUACGUG